AUUAAUAUCAUUGGGAACCAGUUGUCAAGACUACCAGCAGGACUCUCAUCACUAUCUCACAUUACAGCAAUAUGGAUAGCAGAGAACCAGUCAAAGCCAUUGUUAGAGUUUCAGCUCCAGACUGAUCCCAGUAA